GAACUUAUGUAUUGUUGCACUUAUGAAUUUAUGGAUGAAUUUUAAUCUUAUGAAUUUAUAUUUGAAUUUUUUUAGGCUUAUAGAUUGAAAUUCAAAAUAUUCUUAUAUGGUCUUUAAUGGACCCCAUGGCAGCCCAUAUAAAUAUGGGUAUUAGUGGAUUUGGGCCUUAAUGAACAUGGUCUUUAAUGGUAAUGGUCACUCUUUGUCCACAAAUAAUAAAUGGACAAACGGAUAUUGGCUAAUGGACAUGGGCUCGCCCAGUUUACAGCUCUAUUCAACCGUUCAUCCCAUGCGUAUGGUAAGCACAUGAACCCAUUUAUGGCACUAAUGUGGCAAUGCUGCACAAUAGCGCGAUUUAUUGUAUCUGCAAACUAUCUCCAAUAAAAUAAUGAUCAACUCAUACGUGAUAUUUCUCACCAAAACGAAUAGAAAGAGCUUUGAUGAGUUGUCUUUUGGCUGAUCUUGUCUUGUGAUUUGCUCAACCGUAAGCCGUUAGUUGAAUAGGUUCUUCCUUGAUUGACCGUCGAAGCUAAGGAGGCAUCGAAAUAGUAACGAGAGCUGGUGAACAGGAGAAACGUUAAGAUCUAGGUUGCAAGAGAACAACAACUACACAUAUAAAGCAGAGGGAGAGAGGGUUAUGGGGAAGAAGACUAAGGUAGCUGGAUGAACACCGCGACUCAAAAAUCCAGUUUCCGUAAGCUUCUCACGGUGGGGUUGUUCAAGGCCCGCCAGAUUCACCACCAGAUACCAUCAAAAGAGCCACCCAGAGAUGUCCCACGGCCGCAAUCGUCAUCUUCAAGAAUAAGUUUUGACUCCGAAACUCUAACCACCGUCAACCGCAUACGAUUCGCCGUGUCUCAGGUCUGAGAUCUUGCAUGCUCCUUCACCCUUCUCGGUGGAAACAAGACGGAAACGAGCCGGCGUAUUAAUGUACAUAGUCGGUUUAGAGUCCGGUUAGGAUGGUUUAAUUAUAAUUUUAUUUGACCAUGAUUUACUUUGGUUAAGUCAUCGGCUAUAUAUUAACUGACAAUUAUUUAAAAA